AAUCAACGCUGGCGGCGUGCCUCAGACAUGCAAGUCGAACGAUUAAACUUUCCUCCGGGAAAGAUAUAAAGUGGCGUACGGGUGAGUAACACGUAAGUAAUCUACCCUCGAGUGGGGAAUAACAAUCGGAAACGAUUGCUAAUACCGCAUAAUGCGGCGGCACCGUAAGGUGACAGUUGUUAAAGGAUUUAUUCGCUUGAGGAGGAGCUUGCGGCAGAUUAGCUAGUUGGUAAGGUAAUGGCUUACCAAGGCGACGAUCUGUAGCCGGUCUAAGAGGACGGUCGGUCACACUGACACUGAAUAACGGGUCAGACUCCUACGGGAGGCAGCAGUCGGGAAUUUUGGGCAAUGGGCGAAAGCCUGACCCAGCAACGCCGCGUGAAGGAUGAAGUCUUUCGGGAUGUAAACUUCGAAAGAAUAGGAAGAAUAAAUGACGGUACUAUUUAUAAGGUCCGGCUAACUACGUGCCAGCCGCCGCGGUAAUAC
rnacentral:rRNA from 1 species